ACAGGUGCCACCAUGGCGGCGUUGCUGGCCCAGACGCGGCGGCUGCGGGAGGAGCCGGUCAGACCCCCCCGGGCCGCGCGGCUCCUGGGGGCCACCGAGAAGCUGGAGCUGCUGGCCCGGCUGGAGGAGGCGCAGGGCCGGGCCCGGGUGCUGGAGAGGCAGCUGCAGGAGGCCGCCCGGAGCUGGGCCCGGGAGCAGCAGGAGCUGGGGAUGCGCCUGCGGGAGCGGGAGCACGGCCUGGCCCUGGUGAGCGCCGGGGACAGGGGGGACACCAGUGUCCCCAGUGACCCCAGUGUCCCCAGUGUCCCCAGUGACCUACAGUCACCUACAGUGACCCCCACGACCCCAGUGUCCUACAGGGACCUACAGUGACCCCUGUGACCCCAAUGUCCCCCAUGACCAGCAGUGUCCCCAGUGUCCCCAGUGACCCCCAGUGUCCCCAGUUUCCCCAGUGCCCCCGAUGUCCCCAGUGUCCUACAGUGUCGCCGGUGACCCCAAUGUCCUACAGUGUUCCCAAUGUUCCAGGUGUCCCCCAGUGUACCAAAUGUCCCCAGCAUCCCCAGUGUCCCCAGUGUCCUGCAGUGUCCCCAGUGACCCCAGUGACCCGCAGUGUCCCCAGUGACCUCCAGUGACCCCAGUGUCCCCAAUAUCCCA
rnacentral:lncRNA from 1 species